rnacentral:rRNA from 1 species
AUGUGGAUCAGCACGAGCGAAAGCCCGAGCCCCCCGGCGCCGGCGGCGUAGAAGAGGUCGGCGCCCUGCCGGACGGCGUCGCCGACCGCGUUCCCCUCCGGCAGGAACGCCCCCGAGGCGGCCACCAGGAAGGACGCGGCGGCCGUGACCAGCCCGGCCCGGUACAGCAGCACCUCGCGCACGUCCGCGUCGUCCACGGACCAGGGCCCGUACACGCCGUUGUAG